UUACUUUAGCCUGGAAUCAUCAUGAUUUUGUCCUUGGAACACUUUAAAUAGAUUAGAAAAUUCCUAUAAUCCUUAUUUUAUUGAUUGUUGAGUUUUUCAGAAACAGACUCACCACGGAUGAUUACAUGUGUUUGUUAUAUGAUAGUUAAUGAUCUUUACCAAAGAGAUAAAAUGUUCCUUAAAAAAUUCACUCCCAAGACCCUGCCCCAUGUACUUAUUUUCUUUUCUAUAAUGGUAUUUUGCAAUGAACGUCUGCUUAACCAUCUUUUUGUGCCCUAUAGAGAUAAGAUUGAUUUGGGGUACUAUGUCUGGCAAGUUUUGAAGUCUAAGUUUUCUGAGUCUGAACAGAAUCUAGUAACAAUAUGGGAAAUCAGCAUACCCGGAGACCUAGUAUUUAUUCAUAAGGCUUC
rnacentral:lncRNA from 1 species